AGCUUGCUUUUUUGAGACCGGCGCACGGGUGAGUAACGCGUAUGCAACCUACCUUAUACAGGGGAAUAGCCCGAAGAAAUUCGGAUUAAUGCUCCAUGGUUUAUCGAUAUGGCAUCGUAUUGAUAAUAAAGAUUUAUCGGUAUAAGAUGGGCAUGCGUAUCAUUAGCUAGUUGGUGUGGUAACGGCAUACCAAGGCAACGAUGAUUAGGGGUCCUGAGAGGGAGAUCCCCCACACUGGUACUGAGACACGGACCAGACUCCUACGGGAGGCAGCAGUGAGGAAUAUUGGUCAAUGGAGGCAACUCUGAACCAGCCAUGCCGCGUGCAGGAUGACGGUCCUAUGGAUUGUAAACUGCUUUUGUACAGGAAGAAACCUCCCUACGAGUAGGGACUUGACGGUACUGUAAGAAUAAGGAUCGGCUAACUCCGUGCCAGCAGCCGCGGUAAUACGGAGGAUCCGAGCGUUAUCCGGAAUUAUUGGGUUUAAAGGGUUCGUAGGCGGCUUUAUAAGUCAGUGGUGAAAUUUCCUAGCUUAACUAGGACACUGCCAUUGAUACUGCUUAACUUGAAUAAUAUGGAAGUAACUAGAAUAUGUAGUGUAGCGGUGAAAUGCUUAGAUAUUACAUGGAAUACCAAUUGCGAAGGCAGGUUACUACGUAUUUAUUGACGCUGAUGAACGAAAGCGUGGGGAGCGAACAGGAUUAGAUACCCUGGUAGUCCACGCCGUAAACGAUGGAUACUAGCUGUUCGGUUUUCGGACUGAGUGGCUAAGCGAAAGUGAUAAGUAUCCCACCUGGGGAGUACGUUCGCAAGAAUGAAACUCAAAGGAAUUGACGGGGGCCCGCACAAGCGGUGGAGCAUGUGGUUUAAUUCGAUGAUACGCGAGGAACCUUACCAGGGCUUAAAUGUAGAUUGACAGAUUUGGAAACAGAUUUUUCUUCGGACAAUUUACAAGGUGCUGCAUGGUUGUCGUCAGCUCGUGCCGUGAGGUGUCAGGUUAAGUCCUAUAACGAGCGCAACCCCUAUUGUUAGUUACCAGCGCGUAGUGGCGGGGACUCUAGCAAGACUGCCGGUGCAAACCGUGAGGAAGGUGGGGAUGACGUCAAAUCAUCACGGCCCUUACGUCCUGGGCUACACACGUGCUACAAUGGCAAGUACAGAAAGCAGCUACCUGGCAACAGGAUGCGAAUCUCCAAAGCUUGUCUCAGUUCGGAUUGGAGUCUGCAACUCGACUCUAUGAAGCUGGAAUCGCUAGUAAUCGGAUAUCAGCCAUGAUCCGGUGAAUACGUUCCCGGGCCUUGUACACACCGCCCGUCAA
rnacentral:rRNA from 1 species